rnacentral:rRNA from 1 species
UACGAAGGGGGCUAGCGUUGUUCGGAACUACUGGGCGUAAAGCGCGCGCAGGCGGUUCUCCAAGUCAGUGGUGAAAGCCCGGAGCUCAACUCCGGAAUUGCCAUUGAAACUGUUGAACUUGAGGAUGAGAGAGGUGAGUGGAAUUCCCAGUGUAGAGGUGAAAUUCGUAGAUAUUGGGAAGAACACCGGUGGCGAAGGCGGCUCACUGGCUCAUUACUGACGCUCAGGCGCGAUAGCGUGGGGAUCAAACAGG